rnacentral:rRNA from 1 species
CUACGGGGCGACCAGUGAGGAAUAUUGCACAAUGGGGGGAACCCUGAUGCAGCAACGCCGCGUGGAGGAUGACGCAUUUCGGUGUGUAAACUCCUUUUAUAUGUCAAGAAAAUGACGGUAGCAUAUGAAUAAGCACCGGCUAACUCCGUGCCAGCAGCCGCGGUAAUACGGAGGGUGCAAGCGUUACUCGGAAUCACUGGGCGUAAAGGACGCGUAGGCGGGUUGGAAAGUCAGGUGUGAAAUCCUACAGCUUAACUGUAGAACUGCACUUGAAACUUCGAAUCUAGAGUAUGGGAGGGGGAGAUGGAAUUAGUGGUGUAGGGGUAAAAUCCGUAGAUAUCACUAGGAAUACCUAAAGCGAAGGCGAUCUCCUGGAACAUUACUGACGCUAAGGCGUGAAAGCGUGGGGAGCAAACAGGAUUAGAUACCCCGGUAGUC